GAGCCGUUAGCCAAGCGGUAAGGCAGAGGACUGCAAAUCCUCCACGCGCCGGUUCAAUUCCGGCACGGCUCUCCA
rnacentral:tRNA from 2 species